rnacentral:rRNA from 1 species
GACGAACGCUGGCGGCGUGCCUAACACAUGCCAGUCGAACGGAACUGUUUUGAAAGAUUUCUUCGGAAUGAAUUUGCUUUAGUUUAGUGGCGGACGGGUGAGUAACGCGUGAGUAACCUGCCUUCAAGAGGGGAAUAACAUUCUGAAAAGAAUGCUAAUACCGCAUGACAUAUCGGAACCACAUGGUUUUGAUAUCAAAGAUUUUAUCGCUUGAAGAUGGACUCGCGUCCGAUUAGUUAGUUGGUGAGGUAACGGCUCACCAAGACCGCGAUCGGUAGCCGGACUGAGAGGUUGAACGGCCACAUUGGGACUGAGACACGGCCCAGACUCCUACGGGAGGCAGCAGUGGGGGAUAUUGCGCAAUGGGGGCAACCCUGACGCAGCAACGCCGCGUGAAGGAUGAAGGUUUUCGGAGUGUAAACUUCUUUUAUUAAGGACGAAAAAUGACGGUACUUAAUGAAUAAGCUCCGGCUAACUACGUG